rnacentral:tRNA from 1 species
GGUGGGGUGGCAGAGUGGUCGAAUGCGAUAGUCUUGAAAACUAUUGGGGCCGCAAGGUCCUCGUGGGUUCGAAUCCCACCCCCACCGCCA